AUUGAACGCUGGCGGCAGGCCUAACACAUGCAAGUCGAACGAGUGGCGGACGGGUGAGUAAUGUCUGGGAAACUGCCUGAUGGAGGGGGAUAACUAGUGGAAACGGUAGCUAAUACCGCAUACCAUCAGAUGUGCCCAGAUGGGAUUAGCUUGUUGCUGGGGUAACGGCGCACCAAGGCGACGAUCCCUAGCUGGUCUGAGAGGAUGACCAGCCACACUGGAACUGAGACACGGUCCAGACUCCUACGGGAGGCAGCAGUGGGGAAUAUUGCACAAUGGGCGCAAGCCUGAUGCAGCCAUGCCGCGUGUAUGAAGAAGGUCUUCGGGUUGUAAAGUACUGUCGGCGGGGAGGCGUUACCCAAAGAAGAAGCAACGGCUAACUCCGUGCCAGCAGCCGCGGUAAUUC
rnacentral:rRNA from 1 species